rnacentral:tRNA from 1 species
GUGGUUGUGGCUCAGUGGUAGAGCACUUGCCUAGCAUGCAUGAGGCACUGGGUUCAAUUCCCGAAACCACA